rnacentral:rRNA from 1 species
AGAGUUUGAUCCUGGCUCAGGAUGAACGCUGGCGGCGUGUCUAAGGCAUGCAAGUCGAAUGCUUAUAGCAAUAUAGGCAUGGCAAACGGGAGAGUAACACAUUGGCAAUUUACCCUUAAGACGAGGAUAACCUUGCGAAAGCGAGGAUAAUACUCGAUGGUAUUGAAGGAUUUAAGUCUUUCAAUUAAAGCUCCGGCGCUUAAGGAGAAGCCUAUGGCCUAUCAGCUUGUUGGUGAGGUAACGGCCCACCAAGGCUACGACGGGUAUGGGGUGCGAGAGCAUGACCCCACUCACUGGGACUGAGACACUGCCCAGACUCCUACGGGAGGCUGCAGUCAAGAAUCUUCCUCAAUGGGCGAAAGCCUGAAGGAGCGACGCCGCGUGUAUGAAGAAGCCCCUCGGGGUGUAAAAUACUUUUAACUGUGACGAAACAAUG